UGACAGUGCCUCCAACACUUCACUGUCAAUCAUUACUACACCUGAGUUCAUAAUACCACACUUCAGUUAAGGUUUUUAGUUAGGGCUCUGAGAUGAGAGAUUUGGUGC